rnacentral:rRNA from 1 species
GGAAAGGCGCGCGAUACAGGGUGACAGCCCCGUACACAAAAAUGCACAUGCUGUGAGCUCGAUGAGUAGGGCGGGACACGUGGUAUCCUGUCUGAAUAUGGGGGGACCAUCCUCCAAGGCUAAAUACUCCUGACUGACCGAUAGUGAACCAGUACCGUGAGGGAAAGGCGAAAAGAACCCCGGCGAGGGGAGUGAAAAAGAACCUGAAACCGUGUACGUACAAGCAGUGGGAGCACGCUUAGGCGUGUGACUGCGUACCUUUUGUAUAAUGGGUCAGCGACUUAUAUUCUGUAGCAAGGUUAACCGAAUAGGGGAGCCGAAGGGAAACCGAGUCUUAACUGGGCGUUAAGUUGCAGGGUAUAGACCCGAAACCCGGUGAUCUAGCCAUGGGCAGGUUGAAGGUUGGGUAACACUAACUGGAGGACCGAACCGACUAAUGUUGAAAAAUUAGCGGAUGACUUGUGGCUGGGGGUGAAAGGCCAAUCAAACCGGGAGAUAGCUGGUUCUCCCCGAAAGCUAUUUAGGUAGCGCCUCGUGAAUUCAUCUCCGGGGGUAGAGCACUGUUUCGGCAAGGGGGUCAUCCCGACUUACCAACCCGAUGCAAACUGCGAAUACCGGAGAAUGUUAUCACGGGAGACACACGGCGGGUGCUAACGUCCGUCGUGAAGAGGGAAACAACCCAGACCGCCAGCUAAGGUCCCAAAGUCAUGGUUAAGUGGGAAACGAUGUGGGAAGGCCCAGACAGCCAGGAUGUUGGCUUAGAAGCAGCCAUCAUUUAAAGAAAGCGUAAUAGCUCACUGGUCGAGUCGGCCUGCGCGGAAGAUGUAACGGGGCUAAACCAUGCACCGAAGCUGCGGCAGCGACACUAUGUGUUGUUGGGUAGGGGAGCGUUCUGUAAGCCUGUGAAGGUGUACUGUGAGGUAUGCUGGAGGUAUCAGAAGUGCGAAUGCUGACAUAAGUAACGAUAAAGCGGGUGAAAAGCCCGCUCGCCGGAAGACCAAGGGUUCCUGUCCAACGUUAAUCGGGGCAGGGUGAGUCGACCCCUAAGGCGAGGCCGAAAGGCGUAGUCGAUGGGAAACAGGUUAAUAUUCCUGUACUUGGUGUUACUGCGAAGGGGGGACGGAGAAGGCUAUGUUGGCCGGGCGACGGUUGUCCCGGUUUAAGCGUGUAGGCUGGUUUUCCAGGCAAAUCCGGAAAAUCAAGGCUGAGGCGUGAUGACGAGGCACUACGGUGCUGAAGCAACAAAUGCCCUGCUUCCAGGAAAAGCCUCUAAGCAUCAGGUAACAUCAAAUCGUACCCCAAACCGACACAGGUGGUCAGGUAGAGAAUACCAAGGCGCUUGAGAGAACUCGGGUGAAGGAACUAGGCAAAAUGGUGCCGUAACUUCGGGAGAAGG